UCAAUCAAUAGGAAUCGCGAUUCGGCCCGGAAGCUGCAAGCUCGCCCGGCCACUGAGUCUCGAGCAGCCGACCUUGCUGUACGGGUUAACCUCUGCUGUCCAUCUACUUACCAAUUGCGAUGACUACUCCGAGGGAGGCUGGGACGCGGCUGGUCAUCGUCACCGACUCGCCGUUCAAGGAUAUGCAGAACAUGCAGCAGCCGACGGAUGUGACGAUGUGGUGCAUCUGUGAGGUGUGCGGCCUCCGCAUACACCCCAUACAUGGCUACCACACCACCUCCAGCGGUUCUGCCCCUGCCAACUAAAUGCGCUGCAUUUGGCUCAGAGCGGUUAUUAUAUUAAUUUCGUCUUAGUCUCUCUCUAACCCUUAGAUUGUCCUAAUAUAAAGAAUUAUUGUAUCAACCUACCUUAGAGAACCACUUUCUAUUAAACCCUCUUUAGUUUGA